ACAGAAGUAAUAAAUACAAUUAGUUUCGACCUAAUAUAAGAGAUAAAUUUCUCCAUGUU
rnacentral:tRNA from 2 species